CUAAUACUCCCUCCGUCCAACAAAAGAUGUCUCAAGUUUGUCAAAAUUUGGAUGUAUCUAGGCAUGACUUAGUGUAUAGAUGCAUUCAAAUUUAGUCAAAGUUGAGACAUCCUUUGUUGGACGGAGGAAGUAGUAU
rfam:Brachypodium distachyon strain Bd21 chromosome 1, whole genome shotgun sequence.